GGCCGGUGAUGGACUUCGGAUGAUGUUGGGGAGGUUCGGUAGACAUCGAAGGUGAUCGGUCGUUGUAGGAAUCCAACUGCUGGAGCCCGAUCGUCGUAGAAGCUUGUCCAAUAUCCAAUCGCUAUAGAAGUUCGAUCGAAGUCUGGUUCUUAUAGAAGGCUGAAAGGAGACCGCCUAUUGUAGAAGCUCGGUCGAAGAUCGGUUGUCGCGGGAUCCGACUACGAAGAAGCUCAGCUGAAGUCUACCUGUAAUGAAAGUUCAG
rnacentral:lncRNA from 1 species